rnacentral:misc_RNA from 1 species
GUGGCUUGUGGCGCUGAAGUAGCGGUUUUUAAAUGCGUCGACAUGGCGGACUCGCUUGAAAGUGAAUCCGCGGCAGCGCUUCUCAGCAUGAAGGAUGGCGCUCUGAAUAACAACACACAAAAGCAACUGGCAGUGCUGUCUAGGCCACCUCGUAUAAGGAAGAGAAAUAGGAGGAUAUUCAAUGACUUCGAGGACACAUCGUACACGCUAUCGAGAUCUUCAGCGCGGAAAUCGGCGCGCAUCGCGUCGCCCAUUUCGCAGAAAACAGACGAUCCGGAAUGGACACCGGACAAGCGGACGGGUAGCCGCAGCAUUAAAAAAGAACCGCCACCGCCUGUUACAAUUCCGGACAAGCGAGUAAUCCAGAAAGUGGGCAUACGGCUGCGGAACCUCCUGAAACUUCCAAAGGCCCACAGAUGGGUCUGCUACGAGUGGUUCUACUCGAACAUUGAUCAGCCACUCUUCUCAGGAGACAACGAGUUUUGCGGUUACCUGAAGCAGUCAUUUCCUUUGCUCAAGACGAGAAAGUUGACAAGGGUCCAGUGGUGCAAGGUCCGUCGAAUCAUGGGCAAGCCUCGGAGAUGCUCGCCAGCCUUUUUCGAAGAAGAAAUCCGGGCACUUCACGAGCGGAGAAACAACAUUCGUCAGGUGCAGCAGCGGAGAACUGUGUCCAUGGAGAACUACACCAGUCUUCCUGAAGACAUUCCGUUGCCGUUGGUGAUUGGGACCAAAGUGACUGCUCGUUUAAGAAAACCACAAGAUGGGCUUUUUGAAGGGUCGAUCGAUGCUGUCGACACACAGACAGCAACGUACCGCACCAAGUUCGACCGGUCAGGCCUUGGCACACAUUCAGUUCCUGACUAUGAAGUCCUGAGCCUAGACCCUCCUGAAACAAUGCCCAAGUCAUCCUUUCUACAAAGGCAACGGCCUAGGCAAGUGUUCUACCUGAGCCCUCCAAGGACGGUGUAUGGCCAUGGACCACAGCUCGAUAAUGAUCCACUCCUAGGUGCCUCUCCACUACGUUCUGGGCUCCAGUCUGUCGAUGAAACAUCUACCGUUGGUGGGUUCCCUGUCGAGUUUCUAACUCUUAUGGUCCAGCUAUCCAAGAUCCUUACUGUAAAGAAGCAGAAAAUUGAAAAGUUAAGAGAUAUGAACACACAAGCUGAGAAGAUGACCUCGUAUGGACAGUUGAUUUCGCCCGAGUUUAAGAAGCGGUAUGCAGCCCUCAUCAUGGAGUUUGAGGCGCUCAACAAAGAUCUGCAGGAAUCCCUGGAAGGCAUCAUGACCUACUGCGAAAGGCUGGCCCCCGAGCAGGGCCUGCAGUUCGACAUGCAGCCACAGGCGAUCCGCAGCAAGUGCCUUAAUGAGGCCCGUGAAUUGAUGCAGCAAUGCGCUGCCCCGGGAGGCAGCAUGGCAGCCACCCUGUCGGCAUCCUCCUCCUCCUCUAACGCUUCCCCUUCAUCGCAAUCUGAGGGGGGUGUCGCGCAGCAAGCGGUCGACUUGGUAGCCAAGCUCACCGCCCUCAUGCUACAGGUCAAGAACCUUUCCCAAGGGGACCUGAACUCGUUUGAGUUGAAAUCUCUCAGUGAAGCCAUGGUGGACAUUCAGAACAGCGUGAGCCAAAAAAACGUUGGUCUUUUUCAGAACAAAGUUCAAAUACACAUCAACCACAUCCAGAACGGUCUGAGCCAGCUGGGGAACCUGCAUGCGUUUACGUCAUCGUCCCAGAACAUCUCCGUCUAAUCCCAUCCCUCAUCCCAGCUGUACUCUUUGCCUAGCCAGCUUCUGCUUCAACGGUUGCACUUAGUGUGGAUUCGUCACCUUUACGUGCUCACAGCCAUUAGGUUUUGUUUUUGUUGUUUGACUUCUGAUGAAGGCCCUCUUCGGGUUGCAGACGCUCUGAGAAUCGGUUUGUGUGUAACAAGGAAAC